CAGUAGCCACGGUAAUACGAAGGGGGCUAGCGUUGCUCGGAAUUACUGGGCGUAAAGGGAGCGUAGGCGGACAUUUAAGUCAGGGGUGAAAUCCCGGGGCUCAACCUCGGAAUUGCCUUUGAUACUGGGUGUCUUGAGUAUGAGAGAGGUAUGUGGAACUCCGAGUGUAGAGGUGAAAUUCGUAGAUAUUCGGAAGAACACCAGUGGCGAAGGCGACAUACUGGCUCAUUACUGACGCUGAGGCUCGAAAGCGUGGGGAGCAAACAGGAUUAGAUACCCCAGUAGUCCCUGUCUCUUAUAC
rnacentral:rRNA from 1 species